GAUGAACGCUGGCGGCGUGCCUAAUACAUGCAAGUCGAGCGAACGGACGAGAAGCUUGCUUCUCUGAUGUUAGCGGCGGACGGGUGAGUAACACGUGGAUAACCUACCUAUAAGACUGGGAUAACUUCGGGAAACCGUAGCUAAUACCGGAUAAUAUUUUGAACCGCAUGGUUCAAAAGUGAAAGACGGUCUUGCUGUCACUUAUAGAUGGAUCCGCGCUGCAUUAGCUAGUUGGUAAGGUAACGGCUUACCAAGGCAACGAUGCAUAGCCGACCUGAGAGGGGGAUGGGCCACACUGGAACUGAGACACGGUCCAGACUCCGACGGGAGGCAGCAGUAGGGAAUCUUCCGCAAUGGGCGAAAGCCUGACGGAGCAACGCCGCGUGAGUGAUGAAGGUCUUCGGAUCGUAAAACUCUGUUAUUAGGGAAGAACAUAUGUGUAAGUAACUGUGCACAUCUUGACGGUACCUAAUCAGAAAGCCACGGCUAACUACGUG
rnacentral:rRNA from 1 species